CAGCUUUGUUGACGAAGUUUGCUGCACCUCCUCAUAAACUGUUGGCUUAAGAGCUGAACACACAACGACAAGGCAAAGAUCAUUAAAAACUGGGCCCGGCUAGCCCUCGCUUGAGGAGGCGCAAGGCUACGCCGAGCUUCAUAGUAUGUGAGGUCACCAGACUACGCACACCAGUAAAAGUGAUUAAGGUGCAAUGAAGCUGACAGUGAUUCCGGUGGUUUCAACCUCAAUAUGCACAUCAGUGGAUGAGUGGAUGACGAUCUUUUUGAAGCCUCCAUGCAGAGUUGCAUCAAGCCUACCAUUCACAGAAAGCCCUGGUCCAAAUGAAAAACAAAUACAAGCACACGUAUUUAAUUCCAGCACACAGAUCCCUUACUGCAUUGACUAAAAAUAACAGUGCAACAGUGUAAACUGUUGUAAGUCUUUUAUGGUGAAAUAUUGGAUAGUUUUGCCUCUUCUGGGCUUAAAAAAGUUAAUUCAGUGCAAACUGCUAACCAACAGAAAAGUGACAAGUGCACACUGCUUCUUGAGGAACAAU